ensembl:lncRNA
GUUUCUGUGUCCUGGCAACAUCUCAUACAAAGGCGGCUGAUAUGCCAUUUGUUUUCAGCGCUUAACUCGCCCAUUUGGAACUUCAGCUUCUGCCACAUUUCCACCUUGCCAACCCGGCUCAGACGGAAUGCCUAGGUCUUACCCCUAAGCAACGGGGGUGAGGCCCAGAAGACUGUGCUUCCACAUGCUUAGCAGGAGCAGACAAUAGGCUUUUUACAAACCGCCAUUGUGCACUGUGUCAGAGAGUGUCAGAAUGCACCUAUGUCAGAAAGGGCCCUUUGCUCUCAGCCGUGCCCUGCAUUGCUCUAGAGGUGGAAGGCACAAAGCACUGCCUCCAUCCUUCAAUGGGAGACAAGCCAUAAACUGUCUUGCCUCCAGCUCUUUAGGAAGCUGACAAACAACUCGCUUGCCACAGUCCUGUUACAGCAGACUGGGAACUUCUCAUACAAAGGCAGGUCAAAUGGCAUUUCUUCCCAGCUCUUAACUCGCAGCUUUAGAUCUUCUGCUUCUGCCGCAAUUCCACCUUGCCAACCCAGCUCAGACAAAAUGCCUACAUCUUCCCUUUAAGCAACUGGGCUGAGUCCCAAAUGAUUGUGCAACCAUGUGUUUAGCAGGAGAGAGACAAUACGCUUUCAACCAACCACAGUUGACCACUGGUGGAGAGAGUGUCAGAAAACGCCUAUGUCAGAAAGGCCCCUUUGCUCUCAGCCAUGCCCUCCAUUGCUCUAGAGGUGGAAGGCACAAGGCACUGGUUCUGGAUCCACCCCUCAAUGGGCGACAAACCUCAUCUUGUCCUGCUUCCAGCUCUUUAGGAAGUGGAGAAAAAACUCCCUUUCCACAGUGCUCUUACAGCGUCCUGGGAACAUCUCAUACCAAGGAGGCUGAACGCCGUUUCUUUUCAGCACUUCACUCGCCAGUCUGGGACAUCUGCAUCCUGCACAUUUCCACCUUGCCAACCCGGCUCAGACGAAAGGCCUAAAUCUUCCCCUUGAGCAAUGGGGAUGAGGCCCGGAUGAUUGUGGUUCCACAUGCUGAGGAGGAGAGAGUCAAUAGGCUUUUAAGUAACCACCAAGUGCAAUGGUUGGGAGAGUGUCAGAAAGCACCAAUGGCAGAAAGACCCCUUUACUCUCAGCCGUGCCCUCCAUUGCUGUAGAGGUGGAGGGCACAAAGCACUGCCUCCAUCCUUCAAUGGGAGACAAGCCAUAAACUGUCUUGCCUCCAGCUCUUUAGGAAGCUGAGAAAGAACUCGCUUUCCACAGUGCUGUUACAGCAUACGAGGAAACUCUCAUACAAAGGCAGCUCGAAUGCCAUUUCUUCUGAGCGCUUCUCUCGCCACUUUAGGACGUCUGCUUCUGCCGCAGUUCCACCUUGCCAACCCGGCUCAGAUGAAAUGCCUACAUCUUCCCCUUAAGCAACUGGGCUGACCCCCAAAUGAUUGAGCAUCCAUGUUCUUAGGAGGCGAUAGACUGCACGCCUUUUUCCAACCACCAUUGUGCACUGCUGGAGAGAGUGUCGGAAAGCAGCUAUGUCAGAAAGACCCCUUUGUUCUGAGCCGUGCCCUCCAUUGCUCUAGACGUGGAAUGCACAAUGCACUGGCUCCCCCCCUCAAGGGGCGAGAAGCCACAUACCAUCCUCCUUGCAUCCCUUGAGGAAGCUGAGAAAGAACUCGCUUUCCACAGUGCUGUUACAGCAUAGGAGGAAACUCUCAUACAAAGGCAGCUCAAACGCCAUUUCUUCCCAGCGCUUAACUCGCCGCUUUAGGACUUCUGCUUCUGCUGCAGUUCCUCCUUGCCACCCGCCUCAAACGAAAUGCCUACAUCUUCCCCUUCAGCAAACGGGACGAGGCCCAGAUGACUGUGCUUCCACUUGCUUAGCAGGAGCAGAAAAUAG